rnacentral:rRNA from 1 species
GACGAACGCUGGCGGCGUGCCUAAUACAUGCAAGUCGAGCGCAGGAAGCUGACGGAACUCUUCGGAGGGAAGGCAGCGGAAUGAGCGGCGGACGGGUGAGUAACACGUAAGGAACCUGCCUCAAGGAUUGGGAUAACUCCGAGAAAUCGGAGCUAAUACCGGAUAGUUCAACGGACCGCAUGGUCCGCUGAUGAAAGGCGCUUCGGCGUCACCUUGAGAUGGCCUUGCGGUGCAUUAGCUAGUUGGUGGGGUAACGGCUCACCAAGGCGACGAUGCAUAGCCGACCUGAGAGGGUGAUCGGCCACACUGGGACUGAGACACGGCCCAGACUCCUACGGGAGGCAGCAGUAGGGAAUCUUCCACAAUGGACGAAAGUCUGAUGGAGCAACGCCGCGUGAGUGAUGAAGGUUUUCGGAUCGUAAAACUCUGUUGUAAGGGAAGAACACGUACGAGAGGAAAUGCUCGUACCUUGACGGUACCUUACGAGAAAGCCACGGCUAACUACGUGCCAGCCGCCGCCGUAAUAC